UUGAAGGGAUAAAUGUGAAGCCACAACAUAUAUAAAUGUAGAGAAUUAAAGUAGAGGGCAAGGUGGCGAUCUAGCAUCUGGCAGCCAGCCACCACCUCCAACAAAGAUAGAAGGAGAAAAGGAAGGAGGUAGAGAGAGGUAUGACAAUGUUAGUGGGGUCAUGGCAUUGAGACAGGGGAGAGGAAUUAAGGAGAUUUUGAUGGUCCAAAU
rnacentral:lncRNA from 1 species